AUGGAGGGUCUCCUUCACUGGGAUUUUGGCCCUGGCCUUGCCUUGGCCGACCAGGUGAGAAGAAAAUUUGGAUCUACUAUUCAUUUCUCUCCCUCCCAAGACCUCAAGGAGUUCUUCUUGGUGGUUUCUUUCUUGUCAGUUUCUUUCCCACUCUCUAUUGAAUCUGUGGGCAUUGCUCUACAAUGUUGUCUCGGU
rnacentral:rRNA from 1 species